rnacentral:rRNA from 1 species
CCGGCCGCCGCACGGAGCUCGCAAAGUUCGGAUCCGCAAGGACCGGGCCAGCGGGACGUCCGCGUGGCAGGGUGCACUUUCUCCGCGGUCGAGUGCUACGACCGGUUUCGCGGCGGUCAGAAGCCCGUCGGAAAGGUAGCGCCGCCCCUCGGGGUGUCGUGUUAUAGGCCGCCGCGGUGGACUCGCCGCGAGACCGAGGACGCUUGCCGCGCCGAGCGGUCCCGGGCCGUCUUGGGAGGUUCGACCUCGGCUGCACUGCUCCGCAGAGCACCGUAACCGCCGCCCUAGCACGGGUCCGGAGACUGCCGGCGCCUCGGGUCAGUAGCG